GCAUCGAUGGUUCAGUGGUAGAAUGCUCGCUUGGCAACUGGGCGGCCCGGGUUCGAUUCCCGGUCGAUGCA
rnacentral:tRNA from 1 species